GGGGCCGCCUCGGUGCGCCUGCGCAGCGUGCUCUGUAAAAAUGUGUAAUUACUGACAGUAUUUCAACCUACCUGUGUGAGUGUGGGCGCGUGAAGACGGACCUUCACCGUCAUUUUGCAGACAUUUGCAGGAACUGUCUUAAAUUUACCACAGUCAGCUAAAACCAACAGCCCAGGACAAGUGGACCAACUAGCAGGAUCCAGACCACCCAAACCAGCUGAUCUUGUGACAAUAUCGGGCCACCACUGAAAACAACAGCCCUGCUCUAGUCACUCUGGAAACUGACUAGGCUAUGCAUGGCCGAAUCCUGAGCAAGCAGCAGCCCUGCUCUGGUCACUCCAGAAGCUAACCAGUCCACGCACAG
rnacentral:lncRNA from 1 species